CUAAUUUGACAUUUGGAUAUCUUUUUUUUUUUUAUAAGGUGACUAUGAGUUCAAGCUCAUAAUGCUUGCCACACAACAAACAAGUAAAUCAAGUGACAAGUUGUUGGGGCAAAAAAUAGCAACUGUUUGGAAAGCCUGAGAAGAUGCUAGACUGGUGUCCCAAAGAACCAUCCUCCCCAAGUUAGAAUUCAUGCUUCUUUUAUACUUAAAGUCCUGGUUCCAGCCAGACUCAAGAGGGGAUGUGUUCAUUUCUUCCUUCCUGCAGCCAUUCACAGCCUGUGGAGGAGUUUGGGAAAUGAUUUACCUUCACAGAGCCAUGCCCGGCGAUUUUCAUGAGCCCCAGGCUCAUUAUAUUGAUAAUUGCUAACAUUUGUUGAGCGUUUGCCACACGGCAGGAACUGGGUAAGUGCUGAAUCUACAUUACAUCACUUCUGCUUUCAGAGGUAGGGACUAUUCCUAAACCAAAGUUUCUGGUGAAGAAG
rnacentral:lncRNA from 1 species